rnacentral:tRNA from 1 species
GGAGGGAUGCCAGAGUGGUUGAAUGGGGCGGUCUCGAAAACCGUUAUGCGGGCAACUGUAUCAAGGGUUCGAAUCCCUUUCCCUCCG